AUGGUCUGGUAGCAGACCAAGGAGGGGAAGAUAAGAAGAAGAAGGGAAAGAAAAAAAAGAAAAAAAAAGAGGAGGAUGGAGGGGGGGGCCGGGGGAGAAGAGGGCAGCGCCGAAAAAGAAGGAUGGGUGAUGCCUGAAUCUAUGGGCCACCUACGGCUGAACUGUAACCUUGCCGACUACAUGAACCCGGGCUUUAUGUUUUUGCUACGAUGGUGUUGGUUGACGGGUUUGUGGCUGGGUUGUUUGUUAAUUUACACGAUCUGUUAGCUCAUCUUAUCGACUUGAUUUCCGGGACCAGGGCGCUUCAAAUGGUAUCAGAGUAAUAGUCCUCGGACAAUUGUUACUGUAGUGUUUCAAUUUUUUUGUUUUGUUGUAACACUUGAGUAGAGAUUUUUGUCGAUUUUAUCUUACUUUGCUCACCACUCAAGUUUUUGUUUCUUUUCUUGUUGGAGGUACUAUUUUUCUUUAAUCUUCAUAAUGUCUUAACUGAAACCAGAUUUCCAUUUUGUACUUUUGGAUUAGUAUUUGUUACUUUGCACUCCUUGUUUUUGUUAAA